AAAGAGAAAAUACUGUGGCUGCGACAUCUGUCACCCCAUUGAUAGCCAGGGUUGAUUCGGCUGAUCUGGCUGGCUAGGUGGGUGUCCCCUUCCUCCCUCACCUCUCUAUGUGCGUCCCUCCCGAAGCUGCGCACUCGGUCAAAGAGGAUGACCUUCCCCGCUAGAGGAGGACCGGUCUUUGGUCAAGGGUAUACGAGUAGCUGCAUUCCCCUGCUAGAACCUCCAAGCAAGCUCUCUCUCUGCCUUUUAAAUAAAUAAAUAUUUAUUUGUUUAUAAACAAAUAUUUCAAUAUUAAAAUGUUUAUAACUAUAAAAUUUAUUUAAAUUU
rnacentral:snRNA from 1 species